rnacentral:rRNA from 1 species
GAUGAACGCUGGCGGCGUGCCUAAUACAUGCAAGUCGAACGCACAGCGAAAGGUGCUUGCACCUUUCAAGUGAGUGGCGAACGGGUGAGUAACACGUGGAUAACCUACCUCAAGGUUGGGGAUAACAUUUGGAAACAGAUGCUAAUACCGAAUAAAACUUAGUAUCGCAUGAUACCAGGUUAAAAGGCGCUACGGCGUCACCUAGAGAUGGAUCCGCGGUGCAUUAGUUAGUUGGUGGGUAAAGGCGUUACCAAGACAAUGAUGCAUAGCCGAGUUGAGAGACUGAUCGGCCACAUUGGGACUGAGACACGGCCCAAACUCCUACGGAGGCUGCAGUAGGGAAUCUUCCACAAUGGGCGAAAGCCUGAUGGAGCAACGCCG